AGCCCAAUGAGGAAUCAAGACCUUUGAUAGGAAGUGCCGUAUGACAUACUGGUUGAUUAUAAAUGGGUCUCUGAGGGUU
rnacentral:snoRNA from 1 species